GGGGAGGGGAGGGUGUGGGAGGGGAGGGGAGGGGAGGCUGAUGGUGAGGCACUCAGAGUCUCAGGAAAAAAGGAUCUAAACAGGCAGUAGAUCACUGCUCCACACAACUCCAUCCAGAUUCAUCUCCUGAGGUGGGAAUCCAUCAAACAAGCCACCAAGAGAUGAAGAGAGACAGAGCGAGAGGAGGAGAGAGGGAGAGGGGGAGAGAGAGAGGGAGGGGGAGAGAGAGAGGAGUAGAGAGAGAGAAAGAGAGGGAGAGAGAGAGAGAGGGGAGGAGAGAGAGAGAGGCAGGGGGAUUGAGAGAGAGAGAGAGAGAGAGAGAGAGAGAGAGAGAGAGAGAGAGAGAGGGGGGGGAGAGAGAGAGGAGGUGAGAGAUAGAAAGAGAGAGAGAGAGAGGGAGGGGGGAGAGAGAGACAGAGGGAGGGGGAUUGAGAGACAGAGAGCGAGAGAGAGAGAGGGGGAGGGGGGAGAGAGAGAGAGAGAGAGAGAGAGAGAGAGAAAGAGAGAGAGGGGGAAAUAGAGGGAGCGAGAGAGAAGGCGAGAGAGAGAUAGAGGAGAUGGACUGAGAGCCCCAGUCCUUUAUGGUACCCAUUGACAGAGAGUGAUGGGGCUGGAUAUUUUAGAUAGAUCUCAGCAGAAUCUGCUCCCAUGGAAAUGGAACUGGCAGCUGGAGAGAGAGAGAGGCCUUAAAAGUACUGUGGAUGGUGGAUAGUUAUGAGCGUCCCGGACUAGAGCCUAUAGAUCACAGACAGAUUGAUAUGUUUAUGUGUAUAACUGGCCUAUAUCAGCUGAUGGUAGAUGGGAGGAGGAGGAGGAGGUGGAGUAGGAGGAGGAGGAGGAGGAGGUGGAGGAGGAUGGGGAGGAUGGGGAGCAGGUGGAGGAGGAGUUUGAGGAAGAGGAGGAGGAGGAUGAGGUGGAGGCGGAGGAGGAUGAGGAGGAGUUGGAGAAUGGGGAGGAGGUGGAGGAUGGGGAGCAGGUGGAGGAGGUUGAGGAAGAGGUGGAUGAGGAGGAGGAGGAUGAGGUGGAGGAGAAGGAGGAGGAUGGGGAGGAUGGGGAGGAGGUUGAGGAGGAGGAGGAGGAGGAUGAUGAGGAGGAGGAUGGGGAGGAUGAGGAGGAGGUUGAGGAGGAGGAGGAGGAUGAGGUGGAGGAUGGGGAGCAGAUGGAGGAGAUUGAGGAAGAGUAGGAUGGGGAUAAGGAGGAUGAGGUGGAGGAGAAGGUGGAGGAGGAGGAUGAGGAGGAGGAUGAGGUGGAGGAGGAGGAUGAGGUGGAGGAGGAGGAGGAGCUGGAGGAAGAUGGGGAAGAGGAGGUGGAGGAUGGGGAGGAGGUGGAACAGGUGGAUGGGGAGGAUGGGGAGGAGGAGGAUGGGGAGGAGGUGGAUGGGGAGGAAGUGGAGGAGAUUGAGGAGGAGGAGGUGGAUGGGGAGGAGGAGGACGAGGAGCUGGAGGAGGAUGGGGAGGAGGAGGUGGAGGAGGUGGUGGAGGUUGAGGAGGAGGAGGUGGAGGAGGAGGAGCUGCAGGAGGAGGUGGAGGAGGAGCUGGAGGAGGAUGGGGAGGAGGAGGUGGAGGAGGUGGUAGAGGUUGAGGAGGAGGAGCUGGAGAAGGAUGGGGAGGAGGAGGUGGAGGAGGUGGUGGAGGAUGAGGAGGAGGAGGUGGAGAAGGAGGAGGUGUAGUGGUGAGAUCGGUAUGCUAUUGGAAGGAUCCAUCAUGCAGACAACACGUGCUGUAUUGUACAAAUAUCCAUUUCACAUCUCUUGUUUUUGACCAAUGAAAUACAGUGUAUGUUUGAAGUCAUUUUACCAUUUUACCAUUUGCUUUCCCUGAGCUGUUAUCUUUAAACGUUGAUUGCUAUUGUUUAAUUUAACAGUCCUUAGCAUUGGCCCAGCUCUAAGUGAUGUCUUCCAGAUCUCAACAAGCAAUACUGAUGUUCUCAGAGAGAGAAAUUGCUCUAAUUCGCUACAGAGUACUACUGAACUAAACAGUCAUCAGAGACCAGUCCUGUCCUCCUACCUACAGAGUACUACUGAACUAAACAGUCAUCAGAGACCAGUCCUCUCCUCCUACCUACAGAGUACUACUGAACUAAACAG
rnacentral:lncRNA from 1 species